rfam:Triticum aestivum genome assembly, contig: Triticum_aestivum_CS42_TGACv1_scaffold_289927_4AL
UCAAUGAUUUUUUUAAAAAUCACCAAAUUUUGAAAAAAGUUCAUG